GGCCCCGAGGUGGAGCGCACACCGGAAUGCAAGUUCGGAGAGGCACCCCAAAAGGUGCCGGGGCUU
rnacentral:tRNA from 1 species